rnacentral:tRNA from 1 species
GGGGCUGUGGCUCAGUGGUAGAGCGCUUGCCUAGCAUGCUUGAGGCACUGGGUUCAAUCCCCAGCAUCACAU